UGCCUCAUCCUAUUCUACCCCAUGGAUAGUUAUGACUGUUUCAUUGAUUCUGUUGUUGCUGGUUGGACUUCUCCAUUUCGGCAAAUAUAUUCGGAACAAAGUCACUGUUGAGGCCCGUCGAGUGGCAGCAGAUGCACCAAGCGACCAAGUGAUGUAUGCUGCGAUUACAAUAGACAGGACAAAGAGAGAGCAAGGAGUAUCCAGAGUAAUGACGGCGACAGUUCACUCAGCUGGUACCAACCGACCUUUGACACAGGAACCCCUCUAUUCUUUGAUCAAGUAGGUAAGACUCAGGACAUUACUGACAUUCAUAUCUGGUAGGAUGGACAGCAGAGGUUAGAACAUGACCCAUAUUUACAGCUUUCAAACGUUUAUGUCACUGGACGUUGAUGUUCAACCAAAGCACCACUUAAGGCAGCAUUUCCUACAUGCUUCGGUUCAAACUUUAGCUGUCAUGCUUCUCAGAAUGCUACGACCCGUGUUUUUUUAUAUCAAUGUGGUAUGCUCAGAGCUGUUAACCCUUUCUGU